rnacentral:pre_miRNA from 1 species
UCCUAUGGAUGAGCAAAGAAAGUGGUUUCUUGAGAUGGAAUCCACUCCUGGUGAAGACUGUUGAA